rnacentral:rRNA from 1 species
AGGAAGUAUGGUCCAGGAUUACUUCGGCUACGACACAUAUUCGUCCUGAUUAUGAUGAUCAGCCACAUUGGAACUGCCCACACGGUCCAUGACUCCUACGGGAGGCUAGGGGGCGGAAUUGUACGCAAUGGGCGAAAGCCUGACGCAGCAACGCCGCGUGAGUGAUGAAGGCCCUCGGGUCGUAAAGCUCUGUCAGAGGGGAAGAACCUCCCAUCGGUUAAUAUCCGGUGGGCCUGACGGUACCCUCAAAGGAAGCACCGGCUAACUCCGUGCCAGCAGCCGCGGUAAUACGGAGGGUGCAAGCGUUGUUCGGAAUUAUUGGGCGUAAAGCGCGUGUAGGCGGCUGUUUAAGUCUGAUGUGAAAGCCCUGGGCUCAACCCGGGAAGUGCAUUGGAAACUGGAUAGCUUGAGUACGGGAGAGGGUAGUGGAAUUCCGAGUGUAGGGGUGAAAUCCGUAGAUAUUCGGAGGAACACCGGUGGCGAAGGCGGCUACCUGGACCGAUACUGACGCUGAGACGCGAAAGCGUGGGGAGCAAACAGGAUUAGAUACCCUGGUAGUCCACGCCGUAAACGAUGGGUACUAGGUGUCGCGGGUAUUGACCCUGCGGUGCCGAAGCUAACGCAUUAAGUACCCGCUGGGGAUACGGCGCAGGUUAAAUCAAGAUUGACGGGGCCGCACAACGUGGACAGUGUUAAUUUACCAAGCGAACUACUGGCUGACUCCCAUGCCUUUUGAACUAGG